GGUUAAUGGGCUCAGGGGCCUCCCUCAGGUCCCAACUCCCUCAGCCGGCUCUGGCCUGACCAAGAGCUCCAGACGGAGCAGGACUGGAAAUACCUGUCUGCAUUGGCGAGCUCCCAAAUCUUGCCCAGGCGCCUCCCACCGUGUGCAGCUGAGGAAGGCUGUGCUCUGAGCGUGGGGUUGCCAAGUCAGCUCCCAAGGCAGCUCUGGCACCAACGACCCAGAGAAACAGGCCCAGAGGGGAGAAACGACAGAUAUCCUGACACGGGAGAUUGAAAGGGAGGAAUGAAAUACAAGAUCACUUACUGGACCCAUGCAGGGUGCCAGACCCUGGACUAGAUGCUUUAUAACUCUUGUGUAACCUUCACAGAAACCCUGCGAAGGGGAGGCUGAUGGACUCCUGAAGGACCGCAACCACUUCCUCGGAUCCACACCAUCUCCAGAGUCUCCUUUGGCUGCCUAUGCAGG